rnacentral:rRNA from 1 species
GACGAACGCUGGCGGCGUGCUUAACACAUGCAAGUCGAACGGUGAAGCGCCUUCCUUUUUGGUGGGUGUGGAUGAGUGGCGAACGGGUGAGUAACACGUGAGUAACCUGCCCCCUUCUUCUGGAUAACCGCAUGAAAGUGUGGCUAAUACGGGAUAUUCUGGGUCUGUCGCAUGAUGGGUCUGGGAAAGAUAUUGUUUCGGUGGGGGAUGGGCUCGCGGCCUAUCAGCUUGUUGGUGGGGUGAUGGCCUACCAAGGCGGUGACGGGUAGCCGGCCUGAGAGGGUGGACGGUCACACUGGGACUGAGACACGGCCCAGACUCCUACGGGAGGCAGCAGUGGGGAAUAGUGCACAAUGGGCGCAAGCCUGAUGCAGCGACGCCGCGUGAGGGAUGGAGGCCUUCGGGUUGUGAACCUCUUUCGCCAGUGAGGCAGGCCUGCCUCGUUUGUGGGUGGGUUGACGGUAGCUGGAUAAGAAGCGCCGGCUAACUACGUG